rnacentral:rRNA from 1 species
CCCUUAGAUGUUCCGGGCCGCACGCGCGCUACAAUGAUGAAUUCAACGAGUUUAUAACCUUGGUUGAAAAGCCUGGGUAAUCUUUUGAACUUUCGUCGUGAUGGGGCUAGACCCUUGCAAUUAUUGGUCUCCAACGAGGAAUUCCUAGUAAACGCAAGUCAUCAGCUUGCAUUGAUUACGUCCCUGCCCUUUGUACACACCGCCCGUCGCACCUACCGAUUGAAUGGUCCGGUGAAAUCUUCGGAUUGAGACUUUGUUUUCUUCACGGAAAACGCUGUUUUAAAAAGUUGAUUAAACCUUACCAUUUAGAGGAAGGUGAAGUCGUAACA